GUGGAGGCAGGCAGGCCUGGAGGUGAGAGGGAGCUACACUUGGAGCCUGAUGCGCCAUCUUCAAAAGAACACAGCGUCAAACAAACAGGGAACUUGGAAGUGACACCCUCAGUGGAAGGAUAAUCUUAGAGUGGGGUGGGGUGAGGUACAAACCUGUGUCCCAUCAGCAAGUUUUGUGCACAGAGAAAGGAAGACAGUCCCCAAACAAAAGCAAACACAAACCAAAAAGACAAGUAAAAGUCAGUGGAAACUAUGUGAAUCCCAAGGUGACCUUAAAGGAUUGUUACCAUCAGGUUCCAAAAAAACAAAGAGGACACCACGGCCUCAAGAAAAUCUGCAGUAAAUAUGUGUCUUGGCAGUGCUGAUUGCCUGGGGGACCCUGCACAAAAGAGAACAGGCAGCCUGGACUCCCAAGAAAUGAAGGGCAAACUGCCCUGCCCCAUCCCCUGCUGCUGCUACCAUUUGCCAGAAACCGGAGGAGAGGCGAUGAGACUGGAUUGUAUGCUUUGUUGUAAAUACUCAAGCCUGGGAUAGAUGAAAACACUGACCUCUGACCGCUGCUCCACACCUGGGGUGCAGGAAGAAGCACUGUCAAUAACCACGAACUUUGUGAAAACCGGAAAGGACUGCAGGAGACCUGGGAUGUGGACACCAGGCCCACCCUGCUUCCGGCCACAGUGAGCACUUGCCCUUUGCCUGCACUCAGGGGACAUCCAUCCUCCAUCUUCUGGCCCCUAGUGACUCUUGGCAUCUCCACUGUCCUGGCCUCCUAGGCAAAGCUCCCUUCCCUCUGGGUACACUGGCCCACCCCGCACCUCUCCCAGUGGCAUUGUGUCUCAGCCUCGUGGGGACCGGGGGAUGGCGACAGCGUGGGGAGUGCCAGUCCUGAGUGCAAGUGCACACCUUACUGCAGCCUACCCGGGCAUCCCCCUGGGUCGUCCCUGGCAUCCGCCACUCUGCCUCUCAUCCUCUGGGCUGCCCCCUUCCCCAUAGCUGUGCCUAGUCCGUCGCACCACAAAAUCUUCCUUGCAGAUUCCACACACCUGGGGCAAGAGGAGCCCGGGACGAAAAGCACCAGCACCGGGUUGCCAAGAGUGGCGUGGACAGGAGGAACCACAUGCAGC
rnacentral:lncRNA from 1 species